rnacentral:rRNA from 1 species
UACAGGGGGGGCAAGCGUUGUUCGGAAUUACUGGGCGUAAAGGGCGCGUAGGCGGCCUUCUAAGUCGAACGUGAAAUCCCCGGGCUCAACCCGGGAACUGCGUCCGAUGCUGGAAGGCUUGAAUCCGGGAGAGGGAUGCGGAAUUCCAGGUGUAGCGGUGAAAUGCGUAGAUAUCUGGAGGAACACCGGUGGCGAAGGCGGCAUCCUGGACCGGUAUUGACGCUGAGGCGCGAAAGCCAGGGGAGCAAACGGG